GCCGCCGCUGCCACCCAUCGCGUCGUCCCUCCCAAACCUCACCUCCGGCGGCCUUUGCCCCUCCUACAUCAAUUCGAUCCCCCACCCAUCCAUCUCUCUCUCUCUACUGCGACCCCUCUCUCUCUCCCUGGACACAUCUCCUCCGCCAUAGAUGACGGCCGAUUCCGGUGUUCUCCGGCGAAUUCCGCCACCGCGCAGCAUCGGGCCGAGCUCGCCUCGCUCCGCUGGGUCUUUUUUUUUUUUGCGGGAUUCGCCUCUCCCGGCCACCAGCGAUGAAUUUAAGCCCUCACGAUGGCUAGGGUUUCAGGAGCCUCCACACUGGUGUGGCUCCGGCGCCUCCAGCGGCUCCUCUCCAACGCCCACCGCGCUCCCACAUGCAGCCCCGUCUCCAGGAUGCUGCUGCUUCGCCCGGUGGCCGUGGGGUGAGUUCAUCCCCUCUCCUAUCUCUCUCUAAUAUUUGGUUUGAUCCUCCAUGUUAGAUGUGCAGGGCAAGGAUUGGAUGCUUGAGGAAGGAGGGGUCGACCUUGCCUUCCUGCAGCUCGGGACACACCACCCAUGAAGCUUCCUCCUUUCUGUCAGGUGUUUGAGGCAUCGACAAGCAGCGACGUCGGUUGAGCUAGCUGCUGGGGACGCCUCUCUCUCAAUUAUCUCUAUCUCCGUCUCUGUCAUGGACAUUGCAGAUGGACAAUGCUUUAGCGGACAUAUUGGAGUUGGCUUUGCUAAUUAACAAAGGAAGUGGCAUGGGUUAAGGACUUGAGGUGCUAAUCUGGUGAAUUAUAUCACCAUUGUAUGCUUCUCAAUGUCAGCCCACAAGGAGUUCAUUGAUCCUCUUGCCUAAUAUGAUGAAUUCUACAUCUGUAAAAAGGAUCAACUCAAUGGUCUGAUAAUUAUAGGGUAACAUUUUCAUAUCUUCUGAUAAGCUUUGUUGAUUUUUUAGUUCUUAAUCCUAUUUCUCAUCAUCUCAAUUUUGGUAACGGAGAUUGGUGCUACAAAACAUAGCAAGCCACCUGACAUUCGUGUCUCAUAGUUGAUUUUCAUUUUUUUAUUCAUCAUACUAUUCUGAACUCUGUAUCUCUUUUAAAUUAGAAAGUGAUUAUUCAUUGGACGAUGCUACAGAGCGCCUGCGCGCUGUGCGGGCGGAUCUAGCGGCCUUCAUUUAAGGGAAAACCUACGCCCAGCACACCAUGGCCUAGUGGUUGGAGAGCUCCCCUCCCACAAUGGAAAACACAACAGAGAAAGGAGAAAAAAAUCAAGCAAAAAAUAUGGGAAAAAACAGCAAUUAUGUCUGCAAAAACUUGCUGAUCAGGCAAGAAUUUGGAGAAAAUGUGGGCAAAGAAAUUGCCAAAGGUGGGCAAAAACUCCC